rnacentral:rRNA from 1 species
AUUCCAGCUCCAAUAGCGUAUAUUAAAGUUGUUGCAGUUAAAAAGCUCGUAGUUGGAUUUCUGGCAGGAGUGACUGACCACAAACUCUGUUUGUGAGUUGUGUCAUUCUGGCCAUCCUUGGUAAGAUCCUUUUUGGCAUUAAGUUGUCGGGAAGGGGAUGACCAUCGUUUACUGUGAAAAAAUUAGAGUGUUUAAAGCAGGCUUAUGCCGUUGAAUAUAUUAGCAUGGAAUAAUAAGAUAGGACUUUGAGUCUAUUUUGUUGGUUUGCGAGUCAAAGUAAUGAUUAAUAGGGACAGUUGGGGGUAUUCGUAUUCCGUUGUCAGAGGUGAAAUUCUUGGAUUUACGGAAGACGAACGACUGCGAAAGCAUUUACCAAGGAUGUUUUCAUCA